CCUACGGGAGGCAGCAGUGGGGAAUAUUGGACAAUGGGCGAAAGCCUGAUCCAGCAAUGCCGCGUGAGUGAUGAAGGCCUUAGGGUUGUAAAGCUCUUUUACCAGGGAUGAUAAUGACAGUACCUGGAGAAUAAGCUCCGGCUAACUCCGUGCCAGCAGCCGCGGUAAUACGGAGGGAGCUAGCGUUAUUCGGAAUUACUGGGCGUAAAGCGUACGUAGGCGGUUAUUCAAGUCAGAGGUGAAAGCCCGGGGCUCAACCCCGGAACUGCCUUUGAAACUAGAUAACUAGAGUCUUGGAGAGGUUAGUGGAAUUCCGAGUGUAGAGGUGAAAUUCGUAGAUAUUCGGAAGAACACCAGUGGCGAAGGCGACUAACUGGACAAGUACUGACGCUGAGGUACGAAAGCGUGGGGAGCAAACAGGAUUAGAUACCCUGGUAGUCCACGCCGUAAACGAUGAUAACUAGCUGUCCGGGCACUUGGUGCCUGGGUGGCGCAGCUAACGCAUUAAGUUAUCCGCCUGGGGAGUACGGUCGCAAGAUUAAAACUCAAAUGAAUUGACGG
rnacentral:rRNA from 1 species